UUUCCACGUGGAGAUUUCUAUUAAUAACUUUGCAUUUUUAUUAAAGCAGGAUAACUCUUAAAGCCUCAUCAGAGAUAUUGAUGUGCUGAAGGAGGUUUUGGUUGGCAAUUUCUGCUUUGCAGGGGUUUUCUAGGGGCUGAGCUUGGCUGAUUAAUCCUGGAUCGUGGGAGAUUCACUGCAUGAUGGCUGACCCAGCUGGUGACCAUCAGAGCCUCUGAAUGAUACAAUCCCCUGCAAUCUGGUGCUGGGAGAAGCAUUUUAUGUUGCAGAGGAUAAAAUUCCUGCAUUCUCUGUCAUGCCUUGUGCAGAUUAAAGGGAAGAUAACCUGCCCAAUCAUCAUUAUACGCUCAAAAGCAUAACUGGAAAAAUCCAGCGUAUCGCUUCUGUCGGUCUCAAGGAGAUCUGCAGAGGAAACAAAUGACCCACAGUAAAAAUGGAUAAUGCUUCACCAAAUUGGUACCUGGGAGCCAUGAGGCUCAACUAGCAGUAAAAAUGACCCAUUCUUUUCAACAUGAAAUUACUUCUCUCUGGAAGUAUAGAAAAGAGAUUUUUAAGCUGUUUUACCACCUGCUCCUCAUCCC
rnacentral:lncRNA from 12 species